GCUCAACCGAAGAAGUGCAUCGGAAACUGGGAAACUUGAGUGCAGAAGAGGACAGUGGAACUCCAUGUGUAGCGGUGAAAUGCGUAGAUAUAUGGAAGAACACCAGUGGCGAAGGCGGCUGUCUGGUCUGUAACUGACGCUGAGGCUCGAAAGUAUGGGUAGCAAACAGGAUUAGAUACCCUGGUAGUCCAUACCGUAAACGAUGAAUGCUAAGUGUUGGAGGGUUUCCGCCCUUCAGUGCUGCAGCUAACGCAUUAAGCAUUCCGCCUGGGGAGUACGGCCGCAAGGCUGAAACUCAAAGGAAUUGACGGGGGCCCGCACAAGCGGUGGAGCAUGUGGUUUAAUUCGAAGCUACGCGAAGAACCUUACCAGGUCUUGACAUACUAUGCAAAUCUAAGAGAUUAGACGUUCCCUUCGGGGACAUGGAUACAGGUGGUGCAUGGUUGUCGUCAGCUCGUGUCGUGAGAUGUUGGGUUAAGUCCCGCAACGAGCGCAACCCUUAUUAUCAGUUGCCAGCAUUAAGUUGGGCACUCUGGUGAGACUGCCGGUGACAAACCGGAGGAAGGUGGGGAUGACGUCAAAUCAUCAUGCCCCUUAUGACCUGCGCUACACACGUGCUACAAUGGAUGGUACAACG
rnacentral:rRNA from 1 species